CUUUCAGAAGAACUGUGCUGAGUCUUAAGCUAUGUUGGACACACACAAAUAUGUAUCAAGACGCCAUCUGCAGAUUCGGCUAUACUUUAUUCCAUAUCAUGUUACAGAAAACAACAAUGACAGCUGACAAACCAUUACAUCCUUCAUAACACAGACAAAUUACAAUUGGCAACACAUAUGCGACACGUAGUAUUCCAUUCUCCUUGCUAUGUGUCAUGUUGAAGCAUAAUGAGUCUCAGAGGUACUAACCCCAUUAAAAAGUACACAUCUCAGUGCAUCAUAUAAACAAGGGGGGGGGCAAGAAAUGAAAGGAAACAAGAAAAAUCCGAAAGUCCACUCACGAACAAAGAAUGUAGAUUUUAUAUGUGCCUCUAUUAUAUGCUGCCGUGAGAGGGGGCAGUGAGAAUAGGAAAUUGCUUAUUUCAUUUGAGAUUUUAAAAUUUUCAGCUUGGUAUAUGAGGAAACAGAAGACUAAUAGUUUCCUCUGUGUACAAGCCAGGAACAGAGAAGGAAGUUAUACACAAUUAUGCAGCAUAUUUCUAUGUAUAGGGGCAGGCAACAAUCUACCCUGGUAUGUACAACCUAGACAUCCUCUUAUAUAACAGAAGAUUACAAACCAGUAAUAUUCACAGAUGGGUGUCUGCCAUGGACACAUACACAGGGUACUGAUUACAGUGGUGUCGUAUGCACACAGAGGAAAGGGUACCACGAGGUACUGGUUUUCCUACAUUCCCACAGGCUCCCUUGGAAACUUUUCUAGUCACUUGAGAGCUAGAAAUGAAUUCUCAUCCUUGCAUGGUGGGUAGACAGCUGGCCCUGCCUUACACCUCUAAUUUUUUGCCUAGUACAGCAAACACAUUUUUGCAUCCUGUGUAUCUUGUAUUUCUUAACUAAUUAAACUGUUCCCCUUAAGAAGAUGAAAAUUAAGUCCCCUACUACCUUUCCAAAUACUGUGUGUAGUGAGGCUGAGUUGAUACAAUCACCAUGCCAAGGUGUUCAUGCUAUUCUUACCAGCUGUCCAAACUCAAGCUAUUCCUUCAUAGAAAAAUAAUCUCGCCAAGCAUUCCAGUGCUUUUUCGAUAGUAUAGUAACAUGUUAAUGAACACAGUCUCUACCAAUUUUCACAAUACCCUCAGAGAGGGUGGGAGAGGAAAGUAGGGGAGGGGGAAUAUGACUGUGCUAGGCUGGAGUUGGGCAGACACUUUGGAUUUCCUUCCUUGAUGACAAGGACCGGAAACUGAAACCCUUCUAACCAGAGAGGUGUGCCUGACUUGAGGCAGACCUCACACUGAGCAGUGCUGUGUCUCACUUCCCAGAAGCUGUCUAGACAAGGGCACGGAUCUCUGGUUGUCUUUACAUUCUUACUUGAAACCUUUCAACAUUAGCAUGGAGCUCCUGACUUAUACUUAGUGAAAUAUACACAUGAUGGGCUCCCCUCCCCAGAUGAAUGGAGGAUUCUAAGCAAAUCACAGGGGAGGCUGUUUUUUUAAUUACACAUAAGGUUUUCUCCCCACUUAAAGAACUCCCAAUUUAAUUAUACUUUAACUCAAAAUACCUGUAAAGACUUCCCAUGGAAGGAAUUAUGAAAGGGGACUGAGAAUCAUUCCCAGGCAGCUAACAGUAAACACUGUCAACUUGCGUGACACUUUUGCCUUCUUUCAACCCAUUCAGGAAGCAAUUCCUUGCUUAGCAUCUGCAAGAUUGCAGUUACUGCUCCCUCUGGAUAGACAAGGGGGUGGGUUAUGCCUAUGACUCAGAGGCAAUGCCUUUGAAAUCUAGGAACCUGGCUCUGCUUCCAGGGACACACUGGGUUUGACUACAAAGAAGCCUAUUUCUCAUUUGAGAAUCAGAAAGCCCUUGUCAAACUGCAUCACAAUUCCUUGUCUUGAUCCUAAAACUGUGUGACACAUUUCAAGCUCAUAGUUUCUCCUCUUUUCUCUGGAGUAGUAAAACAUAGAACAAUGGGCACAGAUGCGUUUCCAUGGGGAUUUGUGUCAGGAAGUGCAAGAGGCAUGCUUUAUGUGAAGUUUCCUAACUGCCCCUUGCACCCGGCUUUACUGGGGCUCUAUAGUGAGGCUACCUGUGGAAGAGGCCAGCACUAGGUAGCUCCCCACAGAUCAAGGUGCAAUGUAUGCUAGAGUCCUCUCUCCCAGUAACUCAGACCUGCCUUCAUCUUCCAAGGUUCCCAAGCUCCUUCAAAAAAAGGGAAGCCAGUUCUCUUUUGCCAUUUCUAUUUUAAAGCAAAAUUCCCACAUUGCUUUUUAAGAACUGAAUUUGAACAGUUAUUGCAGGAGACUGGUUGAAAGUCUGGCACCCAGUGAUGACUUCGGAACGGCUUGGAAUGUUUCUGAGCAAUCUAAUUCAAAGGUGCUUUGUUGUAAGUGAGCAAAUUUUUAACUCUAGAUAAUUUUUAAAUUUGCUUUUUAAGCGUUAAUCGGCCAAGAUGGCUUCCAAGACUAACCCUUGACAGACAGACUUUUUCUUUUUAAUUUGCACCCAAGUUUUAAGAAAGAUAUUCCUUACUAUUUUCUCCAGUUAAAAAAACACGGAGCAUAACAGAGCUGGUGGAAAAAAUAAGAUGUAGACAAGACUCAGAACACAUGUAAAAAGUUGCCUUGUUUUCUAUAGGUUAAAAAAAAAAGUUAGCCUUCAUCUUUGUCUUUGUUCUUGGUGCUUGUUUCUCUACCCACAACCUGCUCAGAAACAGCCAGGCUAUUGAAAAUGAUAAGCAGAUUCUGGUUUCCUAUAAAUGUGGGGACAUUUCCAAUAAAAAGAAAACCCCACAUUUCCAAACGUCCUCAAAGGUAAGCAACAGGUUGGGCCCACUGUCUGGGACCAUGCAGUCUAGUCAGUCAGAAAACACGGGGUUUGUUUUAGCAGUAAGAAUGUCCUUCUUGGUGGCUACAGAAUGUACUCUGUUCUCAAAGAAAACACACAUUGUUUCAUGCCACUGUGUGGCUUUCAAGUGCAGACAUUACUGAGGAAGUGUGAACACCAAAUGUGUUGUCUUAAUGUAUUUAAGACAUGGCUGGUGAAAGCAUAAAAACCUUCACAGAGACACUGUGCAGCAGAGGGAAGUCAAACAGAAUCAAACACAAAAGACUGAAAAGAAUACAUGCCAUGUAUCAGUAAGCAAAGCUUAAUCUUCACAUAGCUCUUGGAAAUCACAAGGUAUCCAAAUGCGUGCAAGGUUUUAAAUAAAUUGCAGAGAAAACAGGGUCUUGCCAGCUUCAAUUUUCUUGUAAGUGAAAUCCACCACAGGGGGCAGAAGGGAACUGAUCCAGGAGCCCCGCACUGCUGGCCACUUCAUUAGUGUUUUUUAUUUUUUUUAUUAUUUCUUCUUCUUUUUCUUCCCAGAAUGAUGACAACUUAAUCCUG
rnacentral:lncRNA from 1 species